GGGACUCCAUCCCAGGACUCCAAGAUCACACCCUGGGCCUAAGGCGCGAAACUCCAUUGGCCAGAAGCUCCUGUGUUUGGGACCUCUCCCUAUGGAUCUCUUCAUCUGGCUGUUCAUUUAUGAUGGAUUUGUUUGGUUACUUACUUUACUAUGAGAAAUUUCAGAGGAAGGAAAAGGAAAGAAGGACGAGCUGCGUGUGUCAUAUCACAACUGAGUUGGAGCAAGAGGCCUCCUGGGGUCUUGGUGGUGGGCCAACCAGUGAAAACGGGAUGAGCAUAUGGAGCAUUCUGAGAGUCUUAUAAAGGCAUCGUGCUAAUGAAAAAAUGAUUGGAGAGAGUUAGACAGGAUUGAGAAGCCAUGCAUGAACCUUCACCCCCUGUGGACUCUAUAUAGGCUGGAAUAGAUCUUAAUCAUAAAAUGAAGAGCCAUCCUAAUCGUCUUCAGGAUUAUAUGUGUGUUUGACUAAAGAUAAGACAAUUUUGCUACAGACGACAUUUCUUCCCUUUUAUAAUAAGCAGUAGAGUUUUGAGGUUACUCGAGUUCUUUCUCUCCUUGGCUUGAUACCGAAGGUGGUUGCGCUCCAGAAGAAGAAGAGAAUGAAGGGUAGAACCUGAGUCAGACAGAAAAGUCUUCUGUGGAAGAUUCCGUAUAUCUCAAGCAGAAAAGGAAGCGAUCGACCACCGAGUUAAACAGCUGGUCAGUGAAAAAAAGGCCUAACAGUUGGCCAACCAAUUAGUUCAAGAGACAGUUGGCUGCAGGUGGUAAGGUAAGAGCCAAGUCUGGACUCUGACUGAAGGGAUUUUGCCAGGGCUUGGUGUUUGACCUUCUAGGGGCCUUGGCUUGCUGUAGGAAAGCUUAAAGAACUGACUUCUUAUGAGCCUCAGAGACCCGCAGAGUUCCUUCCAGUAGUGACAUGGAGUUGGGCUGCCAUAUUGGGCAUAAUAGAAAUUUUUCCAAAUAGAGCGGGGGAUGAAGUGCUGGUUACUAAGAGUAAAGAGAAAUCUCAUUUUCCUGGUGAGAUUUUCUAUAACUGCAGAAAAUCCGUAAAGGUCAGUUUGUUCCUUGAGAUUGUCCAUCAGAGAAUAUCCAGGGCUGCAGGCCCACAUGAGAACAGGCUGACUUUCUUGGUUGCUGGGGAAGGAAGAAGGUUGGAAGAGAUCCACUGGGGUGAGGGGCCUACCACCAGAAACACUUGUUUGCUCUGCAAGUACUCACUGGACCCUGUUCUAUGUGAGGCCCACAUUCCAUUAAGGGGGGUAAAAAUGGAGAUAAUUCCCAUAGAAGGUAAUUGCUGUUUAUAACCAAAGUAUCACACUUCAGGGAGAAAAGCAUGGCCAGGUUUCUUUAGGAAAGAUUUCUGGGGAAGAUUCCUAGAAGAGAUGCUCUCUGAGCUGAAUUUUGAAGUAAGAAUAGGCAUUUUCUCAAACAGUGUAUUGGAGAGAACAGAAGGAAGUUCCGUGUAGCUGGAAUAUUCAAUAUGAGGAGAGCUGUGGCAGGAGAUGAUGUCAGAGACACGGUUCUGGCCAAGGUCAUGAUGGCUCUGAAAUGCAGAGCUAGGGAAUCAGACUUUGUCUAGAUAUGGAGAAACACUGCACUUUUUAAAAAAAGAUUUUAAGUAAUCUCUGUACCUAAUGUGGGGCUCAAACGCACAACCCCAAGAUGGAGAGUUGCAUGCUCUGCCAUCUGAGCCAGCCAGGCACCCCAACACUGAGCAGUUUUAAGCACAGUAAGGAAGUGCAUUUUAGGAAAAGGACUCUUAUCUGUGAUGGGGUGGAAUAGAGUAAGCCAAGGCUGGAGGCUGAGAGGUAAGCAGGGAACUCUUCCAAUAGUCAAGGCAAGGGACCACAAAUACCUGAAUGACGGGCAAUGACCACAGUGAGGGGAAGCGUGUGUCUCUGCCUGCACUUUCUCUCCCUGAUGCCAAGGAUGCAGGCCUUCCUCCCACCUCUAGUGCUCAGCCUGGUCAGCAGUUGCUUCCUUGCUCAAGGCUUGCUGCCAUGGUCUGGAGCUGGCUCAGGGCACAGAUUCUGGCUCUUAGAAAGAUCGCGUGUUGGGGCCAAGAGACACACGUGUGGGAGUCAGAGAAGAGGAAUCCAACCCCAAUGCCAGCACAUUUUUGAUCAAAUUGUGAUCCACCCCACCAAAUUCUGUGUUGACACCUAACGCCCAAUGUGACUCUAUUUGGAGAAAGGAAUUUCAUAAGGUAAUUAAGCUUAAAUGAGGUCUUAAUGGUGGGACCCUAACUGAGAGGCUGUUGAGCUUAUAAAGAGAGGAAGAGAUGCCAGAAAUGCUUUUCUCUUCCUUCACACGCAUAAAAGAAAGUCCGUAUGAGGACACAUCAAGAAGGUGGCCAUCUGUAAACCAGGAUGAGAGGCCUCACCAGACACCAGCCCUCUUGGCACCUUGCUCUUGAAAUUCUAGCCUCCAGAACUGAGAAAAGAAAUUCCUGUUGUUCAAACCAUUGAAGGGGAACAGAAUAUGCCACCCCCAAAUAUGCCACUUAGCCAUGGGAUUGUUUAGAGCUGAAGGCAAUUGAGAAGUAGAUACAAGAAAAGCUUUCUCUGCCUAAAAAUAGGAUAUAAAUCUCCUCUCCUCUCUACCAGUAAAAACAAAAGUCAAUCACUGGAGACAACUUUAACCGUCUGGCAAUGGAGAGGAAUCUAUAUGACAAACUUUACUAACCCGGCUUCAUCUACCACUAGUUUGCUGCUCCUAGAGACUCAAGGUCCUCUUCCUUGGUCUUGACACAUUCUAAUAAUGUUGUUCUUCUGUUAAGAUGCUAUAUAAGCCCCAAUUCUAAUGAGCCCUUUGAGUUACUCAUGUCUGAGUGUUUCCAUGUGUAAGGGUGAGGCACAUGCUAAUAAAUCUGUUUUUCUCUUGUGGAUCUGCCUUUUGUCAGCCCAAUUUACAAGGUCCCAGUCAAAGAACUUAAGAGGGCAGUAGGAAAAAGAAUUCUUUCUCCCUACACCACCCAGUCUAUGGUAUUUUAUUAUGGCAGCCUGAGUUGGCUCAUACACACCAUCGGCAGCUAAUUCUCUUAAAGAAAUUAUUUAAACAGACCGAGCCUCGUUUUCCUAAUCUCUAAAAUAAAGUGGUAAAAUAAUAAUAAUCCCUACUUCACAGGGCUCUUGGGAGUGUCAGAUGAGGUACACAACCAGCAAAUGGAGCUCACAUGAAAACUCUUUAUAAAAAAUUGUACAUAUAAAAUAAAUAAUAAAUAUUCCUU